rnacentral:rRNA from 1 species
AUUGAACGCUGGCGGCAGGCCUAACACAUGCAAGUCGAGCGAGCGGCGGACGGGUGAGUAAUGUCUGGGAAACUGCCUGAUGGAGGGGGAUAACUACUGGAAACGGUAGCUAAUACCGCAUCCCAUCAGAUGUGCACAGAUGGGGUUAGCUAGUAGGUGGGGUAACGGCUCACCUAGGCGACGAUCCCUAGCUGGUCUGAGAGGAUGACCAGCAAAACUGGAACUGGGACAGGGUCCAGAUUCCUACGGUGGGCAGCAGGGGGGAAUAUUGCACAAGGGGCGCAAUCCUGAUGCAGCCAUGCCGCGUGUGUGAAGCAGGCCUUCGGUUUGUAAAGCACGUUCAGCGGGGAGGCGUUACCCGCAGAAGAAGCACCGGCUAACUCCGUGCCAGCAGCCGCGGUAAUAC